AGACAGAACCACUCUCCG
rnacentral:misc_RNA from 1 species